CUUUUAAUCUGAAUCAUGCAAGCAUAAAAAUAUAAAAUCACAAGGAUCUAGUUCAUGUGCUGAAAUUCACAUAUGCUGAAAUUCAAAUUGUGAUCAGAUCGCAUAUCCGUUUCAUAAUCUUUUUCUUCGAAUCUAAAUCUGAAAGAAAAAAAAAUAAUUUUUUAGCUAUAUAAGUGUUUGACCUCUAUGGGUAUCCACUUGAGAUCAGUCUGGAACAGUCUUCUUCAAAUUAAUUUUUUUUCUCUAAGAAAAUUUAGCUUGCUGAAUCUGAAUGAAGCUUGGAUCAUGAUCAACACUUGAUCUCUUUCCUUGAUUUUCUUAUUCUCUUCUUCUCUUGCCUUUCUCUCUUACUUUAUGCUGCUGCAAAACACCAGCAACCAGUAAUAUAUGGGACACCCAACAGCCUUGGGCAUGAGGAUGAACUUGGGAUGCCCCAAGUGCGAUGGCGUGAGGAUGCCCAAAGAGAAGAGAAGGAGGGAGGAAGAGAGGGCAUGUGGGACUUCUAUAGGGUGUGGGUGGCUACUGGUUGGAUGCUCUAGGGAUCUUAGG
rnacentral:lncRNA from 1 species